GAUGAACGCUAGCGGGAGGCCUAACACAUGCAAGCCGAGCGGUAUUAUUUCUUCGGAAAUGAGAGAGCGGCGUACGGGUGCGGAACACGUGUGCAACCUGCCUUUAGCUGGGGGAUAGCCUUUCGAAAGGAAGAUUAAUACUCAAUAACAUAUUGAACGGCAUCGUUUGAUAUUGAAAGCUCCGGCGGAUAGAGAUGGGCACGCGCAAGAUUAGCUAGGUGGUGAGGGAACGGCUCACCAAGGCGAUGAUCUUUAGAGGGCCUGAGAGGGUGAUCCCCCACACUGGUACUGAGACACGGACCAGACUCCUACGGGAGGCAGCAGUGAGGAAUAUUGGUCAAUGGGUGCAAGCCUGAACCAGCCAUCCCGCGUGAAGGACGACUGCCCUAUGGGUUGUAAACUUCUUUUGUAUAGGGAUAAACCUACCCUCGUGAGGGUAGCUGAAGGUACUAUACGAAUAAGCACCGGCUAACUACGUGCCAGCCGCCGCAGUAACAC
rnacentral:rRNA from 1 species